UCUGAUUUCAAAGAGAUGCUCGCAUUCUAUACUGAUGCCAUCUAGGAGUGUAAAUGCCCCAUGUCACACUGCUGAGUGGAGAAAGGAAGUAAGAAUUGACUUCUUGUCCAGUUCAGCACACUGACAUCCAUCAGCUCAAUAUCCCACUGGCACUUGUGGAAGAAGAUUACAAAAUGGAGUCACAUGCAUCAAGAGUACCUUAAAUGGACCCAGGAAGCCAUCAGGGAAGUGCGGCAUAUGCGCCUCUUUACCCAGAGAGUAUGUAAACUUUUGAAUUAUGCUUCACUGCUGGCAUCCUGACCUUCAUUCAAGACAUAUGCUUUCUUGGGGCCAGGCUGGUAGCACCUCAGGAACAGAGAAUGAAAUAACUAUGGCUGAGCUGUCAAAGCCCCUGGCAGUGUGUUUCUCCACUCCCUCCACGACUGCCUCUCUCCAAGCAUACAGCAUUUCCUCCGUGAACGAACUUACCCUCAGCCUUCCUCAGAGGCCUUCACUGUUGAACCAGUCCUCAGGGUGCCCAUCGUCUUUCCUCUGGUGUGUCAAACAAAGUGUCGGUUGCUGAGUCAUGUCAGUUUAUCGUCAAAGGAUAAGUCUAUAAAGCCAAACAUGAUCAUGCUUCAUAA
rnacentral:lncRNA from 1 species